UACGUAGGGGCCGAGCGUUGUCCGGAUUCAUUGGGCGUAAAGAGCGUGUAGGCGGCCGCUUAAGUCCUGCGUGAAAUCUCGGAGCUCAACUCCGAGCGGUCGUGGGAAACUGGGCGGCUAGAGUGCGGGAGAGGAGAGUGGAAUUCCUGGUGUAGCGGUGGAAUGCGCAGAUAUCAGGAAGAACACCUAUGGCGAAGGCAGCUCUCUGGGACGGUACUGACGCUGAGACGCGAAAGCGUGGGGAGCGAACAGG
rnacentral:rRNA from 1 species